AUCCAUGUCUUUCUUGCUCUUGCUUCCAUCCAUAAUUUUUUUGUACAUCAAAUGGAUAUGAAGACCAUCUUUUUCAUGGAGAUCUUGAUAAAGAAUCUACAUGACUCAAUCUAAGAGAUUCAUUGUGUCCAGUCAAGAGCAUAAAAUGUGCAAGCUUAUUAGAUCCUUAUAUAGAUUAAAACAAGCAUCUAAACAAUGACACA
rnacentral:lncRNA from 1 species